UAGUAGUUAUAGUAAGGUUAGGGUUACGUUAGUUACCUUAGUAAAGGAGGUUAGUUAGUAGUUAUAGUAAGGUUAGGGUUACGUUAGUUACCUUAGUAAAGGAGGUUAGUUAGUAGUUAUAGUAAGGUUAGGGUUACGUUAGUUACCUUAGUAAAGGAGGUUAGUUAGUAGUUAUAGUAUGGUUAGGGUUACGUUAGUUACCUUAGUAAAGGAGGUUAGUUAGUAGUUAUAGUAUGGUUAGGGUUACGUUAGUUACCUUAGUAAAGGAGGUUAGUUAGUAGUUAUAGUAAGGUUAGGGUUACGUUAGUUACCUUAGUAAAGGAGGUUAGUUAGUAGUUAUAGUAAGGUUAGGGUUACGUUAGUUACCUUAGUAAAGGAGGUUAGUUAGUAGUUAUAGUAAGGUUAGGGUUACGUUAGUUACCUUAGUAAAGGAGGUUAGUUAGUAGUUAUAGUAAGGUUAGGGUUACGUUAGUUACCUUAGUAAAGGAGGUUAGUUAGUAGUUAUAGUAUGGUUAGGGUUACGUUAGUUACCUUAGUAAAGGAGGUUAGUUAGUAGUUACAGUAAGGUUAGGGUUACGUUAGUUACCUUAGUAAAGGAGGUUAGUUAGUAGUUACAGUAAGGUUAGGGUUACGUUAGUUACCUUAGUAAAGGAGGUUAGUUAGUAGUUACAGUAAGGUUAGGGUUACGUUAGUUACCUUAGUAAAGGAGGUUAGUUAGUAGUUAUAGUAAGGUUAGGGUUACGUUAGUUACCUUAGUAAAGGAGGUUAGUUAGUAGUUACAGUAAGGUUAGGGUUACGUUAGUUACCUUAGUAAAGGAGGUUAGUUAGUAGUUACAGUAAGGUUAGGGUUACGUUAGUUACCUUAGUAAAGGAGCUGCCCAGAUUGACGUGGGGUGUGGUUAAGGUUAGUUAGUAGUUACAGUAAGGUUAGGGUUACGUUAGUUACCUUAGUAAAGGAGGUUAGUUAGUAGUUAUAGUAAGAUUAGGGUUACGUUAGUUACCUUAGUAAAGGAGCUGCCCAGAUUGACGUGGGGUGUGGUUAAGGUUAGUUAGUAGUUACAGUAAGGUUAGGGUUACGUUAGUUACCUUAGUAAAGGAGCUACCCAGCUUGACGUGGGGCGUGGUUAAGUUUAGUUAGUAGUUAUAGUAAGGUUAUGUUAGUUACCUUAGUAAAGGA